UGGCAGACGCGGUGAGAUAACACGUGGGAACGUACCCUUUACUACGGAACAACUCCGGGAAACUGGAGCUAAUACCGUAUGUGCCCUUCGGGGGAAAGAUUUAUCGGUAAAGGAUCGGCCCGCGUUGGAUUAGCUAGUUGGUGGGGUAAAGGCCUACCAAGGCGACGAUCCAUAGCUGGUCUGAGAGGGUGGUGGGGCCACAUUGGGACUGAGACACGGCCCAAACUCCUACGGGAGGCAGCAGUGGGGAAUAUUGGACAAUGGGCGCAAGCCUGAUCCAGCCAUGCCGCGUGUGUGAUGAAGGCCUUAGGGUUGUAAAGCACUUUCACCGGAGAAGAUAAUGACGGUAUCCGGAGAAGAAGCCCCGGCUAACUUCGUGCCAGCAGCCGCGGUAAUACGAAGGGGGCUAGCGUUGUUCGGAAUUACUGGGGGGGGGGGGGGAGGUAGGCGGAUAUUUAAGUCAGGGGUGAAAUCCCAGAGCUCAACUCUGGAACUGCCUUUGGA
rnacentral:rRNA from 1 species